AGGGGCAUAGCUCAGUGAUAAAGUACAUGCCUAGCAUGUAUGAGGUCCUGGGUUCAAUCCCUAGUGCCACAG
rnacentral:tRNA from 1 species